rnacentral:rRNA from 1 species
UACGAAGGGGGGCUAGCGUUGCUCGGAAUUACUGGGCGUAAAGGGAGCGUAGGCGGACAUUUAAGUCAGGGGUGAAAUCCCAGAGCUCAACUCUGGAACUGCCUUUGAUACUGGGUGUCUUGAGUGUGAUAGAGGUAUGUGGAACUCCGAGUGUAGAGGUGAAAUUCGUAGAUAUUCGGAAGAACACCAGUGGCGAAGGCGACAUACUGGAUCAUUACUGACGCUGAGGCUCGAAAAGCGUGGGGGAGCAAACAGG